rnacentral:rRNA from 1 species
AGUGAACGCUGGCGGUAGGCCUAACACAUGCAAGUCGAACGGCAGCACAGUAAGAGCUUGCUCUUACGGGUGGCGAGUGGCGGACGGGUGAGUAAUACAUCGGAAUCUACUUUUUCGUGGGGGAUAACGUAGGUAAACUUACGCUAAUACCGCAUACGACCUACGGGUGAAAGCAGUGGAUCUUCGGACCUUGCGCGAUUGAAUGAGCCGAUGUCGGAUUAGCUAGUUGGCGGGGUAAAGGCCCACCAAUGCGACGAUCCGUAGCUGAUCUGAGAGGAUGAUCAGCCACACUGGAACUGGACCACGGUCCAGACUACUACGGGAGGCAGCGGUGGGGAAUAUUGGACAAUGGGCGCAAGCCUGAUCCAGCCAUACCGCGUGGGUGAAGAAGGCCUUCGGGUUGUAAAGCCAUUUUGUUGGGAAAGAAAAGCAGCAGGUUAAUACCCCGCUGUUCUGACGGUACCCAAAGAAUAAGCACCGGCUAACUUCGUG